AAAUGCUUACAAACUAGAAUUAAUGUAGCAAAUCCCAUUAGAACUCCACAAUUAAGUGCACUUAGGCUAGAGUAGUACUGGGAUGGGUGAUUGUCCGAGUAGUCCUAGUGUUUUACAUGGA
rnacentral:rRNA from 1 species